GGGCUGCUAAUAGGGGGGGCGGCAGUGAACAGGACACGAAGGUUCAGUAAUCCCUUGUUUAAGAACUGAACCUACUGCUCUCAGCGACUCCUUAAAUAUGAUAAAUAGUUCUGUCCUGCAGUCCAAGCUCACUUGAUGGCAGUAUUGCACCCUUAAACUAGUCUGCCUGCCGCCGAUGGACAGAAGAAGAAGAAGACGAAGAACAACAACGAUGGUGGCUACUUGAAGGCCCCUUUACUGCAGCUGUCUGUGGGCUGCAGUUCCCGCUUAAAAAGGAGACGAAGACAUGCAGCAGCUUUGGCUUCCGGUCCGAGAAAACAUGGUGCUUGGUAGGAAACCCCGGAGAGAGGAGCUCUGUUGCGUAGCUGCUGAAGCAUCCGUACCUCCGGCUGAAGCCACGUUAUCUCCUGAUCCAAGUACAGAUGAGGAAAGUAAAAGGAUUGACGUUGUUUGGUGCCAACAACACGCAUUGUCUACAGUCCGAACGGCAACCGUAAGAGGAUCCUAACAGACCUGCCAACCUCUCAGCCUACGAGCAGCAGAAUCCUCUGAGCAGCUGAUAAUUUGGCCAGAACUGUACAGCAGCAGCAGCAGCAGAAGAGGCUGGAUGUCACAGAGUGUACAUAGACCAAUCGCAUCCUGUUUCUGCUCACAUGCUCGCCCUCAGCUGCACUUCACUCCACCCACUACCUUCUCCGUGUCAGAGAAGGAAGUCAAUAGACUGUUUCAGUGGCAGGAACCCUGUAAAGCAGCUGAGCCGGACUAUGUCUCCCCAUCCGCCCUGAAGCGCUGUGCUGAUCGGCUGUCUCCGGUGUUCGCAGACAUUUUUAACACCUCACUGGAGACAUGCAAUGUACCUGCCGGCCUGCCUGCUUUAAAGCAUCCACCAUCAUCCCUGUCUCCAAGAAACCAAGGACCACAGGACUAAAUGACUUCAGACCCAUCACCCUGCCCUCUGUGGUAAUGAAGUCCAUCAAGACUAAAACCUCUCGCGACAGAAAUACCUUCUUUCCCUCUGCAGCUAGCCUCAUUAACAAGGCCCCGGUCCUCCACUGACACUUCCCCCUUGCAAAUAAUACGAAUAUCUCAGCACAUGUCAAUACUAUUUUAUUCAAUUUUAUAUUGUUAUUGUAUUCUCAUGACAUUCCUAUACAACUUGUUUUUGCUUUUUAACUAUAUAUUUCCAGAUGUAUUUAUGUCAACUGUAUGUGUGUCUAUGUCUAGCACCUUACCACCAAAGCAAAUUCCUUGUACGUGUGAAACACUACUCCUUUUUUUUUCUGUUUCUGAUCCUGAAAUGUUG